CGGGCGUCUCUAAAGGCCUUUUGGGAUCUUUUCCCCGUGAGGCCACUUCGCUCUCCAUGACAGCCACUGGGUUGGGCAACUACACCAUUAUUCAAGACAUAAGGAAAGGACCAGAUCAGGAAGGGGGCAGUACAAAACGAUUCAUAGUUGAGGAUCAGCACGUGAGAGUAAAUUUAAUUGCCAUGGUAGUGUUAAUAGUGGCAACACUUUCAUUACUCUUCUUUAAAAAGUGCAAAGGAAGAGCCGAGCGUCGAGAACUGUAGUGACGACUUGACGACGG